AUUGAACGCUGGCGGAAUGCUUUACACAUGCAAGUCGAACGGCAGCACGGGUGCUUGCACCUGGUGGCGAGUGGCGAACGGGUGAGUAAUACAUCGGAACGUACCCAGUCGUGGGGGAUAACGUAGCGAAAGUUACGCUAAUACCGCAUACGUCCUGAGGGAGAAAGCGGGGGACCGUAAGGCCUCGCGCGAUUGGAGCGGCCGAUGGCGGAUUAGCUAGUAGGUGGGGUAAAGGCCUACCAAGGCGACGAUCCGUAGCGGGUCUGAGAGGACGGCCCGCCACACUGGAACUGAGACACGGUCCAGACUCCUACGGGAGGCAGCAGUGGGGAAUUUUGGACAAUGGGCGAAAGCCUGAUCCAGCCAUUCCGCGUGAGUGAAGAAGGCCUUCGGGUUGUAAAGCCCUUUCGGCAGGGAAGAAACGGCUUGGGAUAAUACCCCGGGCUAAUGACGGUACCUGAAGAAGAAGCACCGGCUAACUACGUGCCAGCCGCCGCAGUAA
rnacentral:rRNA from 1 species